rnacentral:rRNA from 1 species
AUGCAGCUUGAGGACCUUGGUGUUGGUCGGCCAGCAACUGAGGAACCAAUGAAAGAGUACCUAGAAGCUGGAGGACCUAACCGACAGAGAACAAUGCCCGUGAAGAGAAUGAGACUGGGGGAGCGGCUGAUGAAUAGCUCGAACUGCUGCACAGUAAGCUUUCGCCCUGUACCAGCCUUGUGGAGCUCGAACUCCUACCUCAUCAUGAACUGGUGGACGCCUCCAGUCCGAGGCUUUGCCGUGGAGGCUGAUGUGGCCCCGUCAGAUCUGGACCGUGCGACAGGAGAACCUGACGACCCCAUCUCAAAUCACACGGGAGAAGGGUCACCGGACGCCCCCAUCAGUUGGAGCAGCCGGUGCCGCUGCUCCUGGAUGAGCGCCGGCUAUGUGCGGCGGCCCCAUCUCGAACCACACAAGGGAAGGAUCACCGGGCACCCCUUAAAUUGGAUCAGCUGGUAG